rnacentral:rRNA from 1 species
AUUGAACGCUGGCGGCAGGCCUAACACAUGCAAGUCGAGCGAGCGGCGGACGGGUGAGUAAUGUAUGGGGACUGCCCGAUAGAGGGGGAUAACUACUGGAAACGGUGGCUAAUACCGCAUACUAACGGAGAACCCAUAUGGGAUUAGCUAGUAGGUGGGGUAAAGGCUCACCUAGGGGACGAUCUCUAGCUGGUCUGAGAGGAUGAUCAGCAAAACUGGGACGGAGACACGGCCCAGACUCCUACGGGGGCAGCAGUGUUGAAUAGUGCACAAUGGGCGCAAGCCUGAUGCAGCCAUGCCGCGUGUAUGAAGAAAGCCUUAGGGUUGUAAAGUACUUUCAGCGGGGAGGCAUUACCCGCAGAAGAAGCACCGGCUAACUCCGUGACAGCCGCCGCGGUAAUAC